rnacentral:lncRNA from 1 species
GUUAGAACCCCGCGAGGCAGGGUGAGGGGCGCCACCGAGGAAGCGCCCACCGGGCUCCCGGGGCUGCCAGGCCCCAAAUUGAGGAAGUUGACUGCCAGAUCACACUCUGUUGGCCCACGCAGAUAGAUUCCAUUCAUCCUUUCUAAUGUCUACACCAUAUUUUGGAUAACAUGCCAUCAUCUCACAUUGUGUUGAAAGAAGAAACCAGAAUGUUGGGGUUGAUGUAUGCCAUAUGGAUGAAUUUAAACAGUUUCGGCCUUGCAAUAAUUGGUAUACUUCUAAUUGCAUGUGAAAUUAUACUCUUUUUAACGAAAGAUGAAACUAUUCAGUGGCCACAUGUACCCAGUAACAGAGGGAGCAAAGCAAAUCUUAUCCUCAAAGAACUGCAGCUGCUUGUUAGAUCUACCUGGUGGUUCCAUAGAGAAACUGCUCAGAGAACCUGCCUUUACCUCGCCUAAAACAGAACUAUCCCGGAGCUCAGCAAAGGAGUCCAUUCAUCCUCUAUAACUGCUAUACAAUAUCUCUGUUAAAAUGCUGAGAAGAUUUAUCCUAAAAGAAGGCACCAAAGCAAUGGGGGCUGUGCAAAUAAUGAUUGGCCUGAUUCACAGUGCACUGGGAACUCUCUGAAUUCAUUGGAUUUUGCUAAGAGAGGAUUCAAGUGGUUCUGGUCCUAUCCCUAUAAUUGCUGUAGUAAUUUACUCAUUUUUGUCAUUAUUUUUUUUCAUCAACUCAGGAUCCAGUAGUGUAAUACAGAAGCCUGUUACGAGAUAUAAGGCACUUUGCCCUCGGAAAUCUCACUGUCGGAAUCCUUGGAAAUCACACCACGCACAACUUCUAUUUCUUCAUAAUUUGCAAAGAACCAGUGUGACUCCAGUCAAGAACAAAAGAUUAAUUGUGAAUUAGCGAAGAACUCUAAUUUUUUCAAGCAGCCACAUGGAAAACGCAUUCUAAUGAAAUCCUUUCCAUUGCUCUUUUUUCUUAGUUCUUCAAUAAAGCAUGCGAUUUGAUCACAAA